GCAGCAUCCUCCUUGCCUGUGAUGAGCUGCUCAGGGUGGAAGAGCUGGCGAAGGUGUUGAAGGAGUCAUCUCCUCCCCCAAUGGUCUUGUCACUUCUCAUCUGGCCAUCAGGCUGGAUGCCAUGUUCCAGGCAGUAGAGCUCCCAGCAGGCAUUGCUGAUCUGGACACCAGUCUGGCCAACGUGGAUGGAGAUGCACUCACGCAUGGUUGCUGCUUCGC
rnacentral:lncRNA from 1 species